UGCAGUCGUGUGCUCCGAGUUCCUGUCUCUCUGCCAACAACGCCCGGAUGGCUUCCCAAAACCGCGACCCAGCAGCCACUAGCGUCACCGCCGCCCGUAAAGGAGCCGAGCUGAGCGGGGGCGCCGCCCGGGGUCCCGUGGGCAAAAGGCUACAGCAGGAGCUGAUGACCCUCAUGAGGUCUGGCGAUAAAGGGAUUUCUGCCUUCCCUGAAUCAGACAACCUUUUCAAAUGGGUAGGGACCAUUCAUGGAGCAGCUGGAACAGUAUAUGAAGACCUGAGGUAUAAGCUCUCACUAGAGUUCCCCGGUGGCUACCCUUACAAUGCGCCCACGGUGAAAUUCCUCACAUCCUGCUACCACCCCCAACGUGGACACCCAGGGUAGCAUAUGCCUGGACAUCCUGAAGGACAAGUGGUCUGCCCUAUAUGACGUCAGGACCAUUCUGCUCUCCAUCCAGAGCCUUCUAGGAGAACCCAACAUUGAUAGUCCCUUGAACACGCAUGCUGCCGAGCUCUGGAAAAACCCCACAGCUUUUAAGAAGUACCUGCAAGAAACCUACUCAAAGCAGGUCACCAGCCAGGAACCCUGACCCAGGAUGCCCAGCCUGUCCUCGUGUUGUCUUCUUAAUUUUUCUUUAGAUGGUCUGUCCUUUUCGUGAUUUCUGUAUAGGACUCUGUAUCUUGAGCUGUGGUAUUAUUUUUGUUUUGUUUUUGUCUUUUAAAUUAAGCCUCGGUUGAGCCCUUGUGAUGUAUAUUAAGUAAAAGCAUUUUGGUCCUUUUUUU